ACAAAAACACAACAAAAGAGAGCAGCCAUUUCCAAUGCUGCCUCCCCGGAAGCCAGCCUACACUCCCAAACACAAAUCCUGCAGGAAUUCCACCUCCUCAGGGAUUGCUGCAUAAACGGCUAAAAUCUACAGGGCAAUAAGGGGAAUGGGGAAGGCUGGGUUGGAGAGAUCCUGCUAAUUCUACCGUACACACACUUUUCCACCUCCUAAAUCAAUCCUGAGUAAAAACACUCAACCCUUCUCUAACCAUGGAGCCCCAUCACACGAUGCACUGGACAAGAGUCCAUACUGAUGUCCCUCAGCCUGUUUGACUCUUACCUUAUGUGUGGGAUGCCAACUCCGCCUUGCAGAAUCUUGUACAGUUUGCUCUCGUACAGCAGCUGGGGAUGCCUGGCCUUCUGAGACUCCAACUUCACGGCCACUUCCUGCAGUGAGAGGGAACAGGGAUCAGAGCAUCCACCAAGCACCAGGGUUUAGGAGGACACAGCACUCCACUCCCACUCAGAGCUCUGCUGCAGUAGAUUUUGGGAAUAUGGGAAAAUUUUCUAGAGCUCACAACACUAGCUCAGUAUCCACAAUAUGGAGGAGCAGCAGGCUCUGCAAAUAAAAUCCACACGGUGCUGAUUUGUGCAUAAAUAUCCAUCCUGGGAGGGAAAUAGGACUAGAGAUGUUUAGUCUUCAGAUCCAUACGACUAAUCGAGAUGGGAGUUGUUCCUUCGUGGCUCGGAAAAAUGUGGGAUGGAGAGAGGAAAAAGAAGAAAACCGAAGAGUAGGGGGGUCUUCUGUGUUUCUCCCCAUAUGCUGAGUGCCAGGAAGCUAGCUGCCAUUGCAGGGUGGAGCCUUAAAUACAUUUCCUGAGCUCAUGGCACUUUAGAGGAGGCAAGGAAAUCUCAGGCCUUUUGCUGUAAAUGUCUUUGUUACCAGAGAGGAAAACCAAAGCAACCAGGAAGAUAUCAAGUCCAGAUCAUUAGAGGAAUGCCUUUGCUUGGACUGACCAGAGGAUGUUUGGAUUCUGAUGUCAGCCCAGUUCUGCAGCCUGACAGGAAUCAGGUAUUGACAUACAUAGAAUUCUUCUUUGCAGCCAAACUAGUCUAAUGUGCAUUUUGCUAACCGGAACUGGAACUGGAGUAGCAACUCAAAGAAAACAAAUGCCUCAUUUUCCAGCUUUGUGGGUCAGAGAACUAUAAGUGAAGAUUAUAAUGCCAGACACUGAUGACUUUAA